rnacentral:rRNA from 1 species
AUCAGAUGAGGCAUUGAGCGCCAGUGAAGCUCUCUGUCAUGGGCGAUUAUGCCGAAGUCAGCGGGCACCAAAGUGAAGGUCCCCACGGCUUUGAGGACGCGAAAGGCGAUGGAGGGACACUGGAAACUUCGUUCUUUAGUUGAAGAGUGUUUGGGCAAAUAGGGCGCGUUCCAGGCUCCUUACGUCCAUAAGCUCUUUGUUCCGCGUCCGUGAAUGAAUACAAAACCCGUUCCGUAGGUGAACGUGCGGAAGGAUCAUUA